UAAUGAGACUGCCGGUGACAAACCGGAGGAAGUGGGGAUGACGUCAAGUCCUCAUGGCCCUUAUGGGUAGGGCUUCACACGUCAUACAAUGGUCGGUACAGAGGGUUGCCAACCCGCGAGGGGGAGCUAAUCCCACAAAGCCGAUCGUAGUCCGGAUCGCAGUCUGCAACUCGACUGCGUGAAGUCGGAAUCGCUAGUAAUCGUGGAUCAGCAUGUCACGGUGAAUACGUUCCCGGGUCUU
rnacentral:rRNA from 1 species